rnacentral:lncRNA from 1 species
UUUUUAAUUUUUCAAUUCAAUUUAACUCGACUCGAUCGCACCCUUAGGCCUAACAAAGGCAGGGUGUUGAGCGAUUAAAUAGACUCCCAAACAAGUCUUCUUCUUUCUGCAAGUGAGGCUCCGAUUAUGGUACAGAGUCGGAGUUGGACUUUUACCAGCUUUCAUUCUAAUUUGCCAUUUAUUUAAGGCUUAGGUUUCUUCCACGGAGGCUCCGUUAA